rnacentral:rRNA from 1 species
ACAGAGGUCCCAAGCGUUGUUCGGAUUCACUGGGCGUAAAGGGUGCGUAGGUGGCUAGGUAAGUUUGGUGUGAAAUCUCCGAGCUCAACUCGGAAACUGCACUGAAAACUACUUGGCUAGAGGAUUGGAGGGGGGACUGGAAUUCUCGGUGUAGCGGUGAAAUGCGUAGAUAUCGAGAGGAACACCAGUGGCGUAGGCGAGUCCCUGGACAACUCCUGACACUGAGGCACGAAAGCUAGGGUAGCAAACAGG